rnacentral:rRNA from 1 species
GGGUGAGUAACGCGUGAGCAACCUGCCCAUAAGAGGGGGAUAACAGCUGGAAACGGCUGCUAAUACCGCAUAAGACCACAUUGCCACAUGGCAGAGGGGUCAAAGAUUUAUCGCUUAUGGAUGGGCUCGCGUCUGAUUAGCUAGUUGGUAGGGUAACGGCCUACCAAGGCGACGAUCAGUAGCCGACCUGAGAGGGUGAUCGGCCACACUGGAACUGAGACACGGUCCAGACUCCUACGGGAGGCAGCAGUGGGGAAUAUUGGGCAAUGGGGGAAACCCUGACCCAGCAACGCCGCGUGAGGGAAGAAGGCUUUCGAGUUGUAAACCUCUGUCCUAUGGGAAGAAGAAAGUGACUGUACCAUAGGAGGAAGCUCCGGCUAACUACGUGCCAGCAGCCGCGGUAAUACGUAGGGAGCAAGCGUUGUCCGGAAUUACUGGGCGUAAAGGGUGCGUAGGCGGCGCAGUUAGUCAGAAGUGAAAUAUCGGGGCUUAACCCCGGGGCUGCUUCUGAUACUGCUGUGCUCGAGUGCAGGAGAGGUAAGUGGAAUUCCUAGUGUAGCGGUGAAAUGCGUAGAUAUUAGGAGGAACACCAGUGGCGAAGGCGACUUACUGGACUGUAACUGACGCUGAGGCACGAAAGCGUGGGUAGCAAACAGGAUUAGAUACCCUGGUAGUCCACGCUGAAACGAU